rnacentral:rRNA from 1 species
UACGGAGGAUGCGAGCGUUAUCCGGAUUUAUUGGGUUUAAAGGGUGCGUAGGCGGAAUAUCAAGUCAGCGGUAAAAAUUCGGGGCUCAACCCCGGCGAGCCGUUGAAACUGGCUGUCUUGAGAUGUCGAGAGGUAUGCGGAAUGCGCAGUGUAGCGGUGAAAUGCUUAGAUAUUGCGCAGAACUCCGAUUGCGAAGGCAGCAUACCGGUGCACAACUGACGCUCAGGCACGAAAGCGUGGGUAUCGAACAGG